AUGCGGGCCCAGGGUGCAGUGGCUGCAAACUGCAGGCUCCCUGAUAGUAUAUGCAGCCUGUUGUCUGUACAGGUUGCCCUAAGGGACCUUGGAGACAGAC
ensembl:snoRNA SNORA70 Small nucleolar RNA SNORA70